UUUCUUUCUCCUAUGUCGUCUUCUUUUUUUGCUUGUUUACUUUAUCUCCCUCUCGAGGUCUCUAAACGGACCAGCAUUUCAAAGAGACCCGAACCCUCUAGUCAACCGAGAGGUGAGACACAGCAGUCUAGCUACGUGAGUAAUAACUAACAUGAUCAUGAGGCUCACGCUCAUCUAGCAGCAUGGCAAACACCGUAUCCUUAUUUUUUCUUUGUAAAAAAUGCUCAGGUACAGUAACUACAAUACAUCAAUAAUACAGCAGCACGAGAAUAUAUAUAUAGCCAGGGCAUCUUGAUGAAGCGGGCAUGCACCCACCAGAUCGAGCACUCAAUCCAGUGGCCGGGGCUGGGGCCGUCCCCCUUUUUUCUCCGAAACCCACCUGUCUGUUCCCGUUUCCGUCGUGGAAAGAAAAAGAAUCCGGCGGACACGGCCGAAGCCGCCAGCGUCAGCGCGUCCGCUUGCGCAGAUCGGCAGACGCCAGGCUAUAGGGGCCGGCCAGACGACGAUCCCGCCGCGUCACCGGCGUUCACGAGCGCAUGUCCGUCGCGAAUCGCGACGACGGCAUGCAUGAUGAGCUUCGCGUUGCCGGCGCCGCCCUGCCGCUGCAGCAAGGCAACAGGGGACACAUCACUCGAGUGUGGAGAUAAGCCAGCAGCUAUAUAUACAUACAUACAGAAAUUAACCAGGCCGCGUAUGAUCUAUCGUCCGUUGUCCCAUAGUCGCCUUUUUUUUUCCUUUUCAAAAUGGUCUCAAGGCGAUUUGACAUUUGAGUUGUGC
rnacentral:lncRNA from 1 species